UAUAUCUAAUAUAGUUUUUUAAUAUAUUUAUUUAAAAUUAAAAUUCAAAUUUAUUUUAUGAAAUUUAAAAUAUAUUUCUAAAUAUUAAAUUAUUAAAGUUUUUAAUUCUUAAUUAACUAAUUAUAGUGCCAGCAGUUGCGGUUAAACUAUAAAUUUAUUAUAUUAUAAUAUUCUUACUUUUAUAAAAUAUUAUAUAAUUUAUUAUUAAGUGAAAUUUUAUUAAAUUAUUAAUAAAUAUGUAUUAAUAGAAAAAAUUUAAAAAAUUAAAAAAGGAUUAGAUACCCUAUUAUAUUUUAUAUUUUUAAGGUAGUAUCACCCUAUUGAAAAACCUAUAUAUUUUGGCGGCAUUUUAUCAUUUUAGAGGAACCUGUUUUUUAAUCGACUUGACACGAUAAUUUUUACUUUAAUUAAAAUUUUAUAUACCUCCAUCAAAAGAAUUAAUAUAAAUCUUCUUUUCUAAAUAGAAUAUUCUAAAAAGUUAGGUAAAGGUGUAGACAACAUUAAAGAUAAAAUGGGUUACAAUAAAUUUUAUUUAAGGAAUUUUAAUUAAAUUUUUUAUAGAAAAAGGAUUUAUUAGUAAUUUUUGAAUAAUAAUCAAAAAUGAACUUGAUAAAUAAUGUGUACAUAUCGCCCGUCACCCUUUCCUAAAGGUAAGGUAAGUCGUAACAUAGUUGAUGUUUUGGAAAAAGCCUCAAG
rnacentral:ncRNA from 1 species